rnacentral:rRNA from 1 species
CAGGACGAACGCUGGCGGCGUGCUUAACACAUGCAAGUCGAGCGAUGAAGCUCUUCGGAAGUGGAUUAGCGGCGGACGGGUGAGUAACACGUGGGUAACCUGCCUCAUAGAGGGGAAUAGCCUUCCGAAAGGAAGAUUAAUACCGCAUAAGAUUGUAAUAUUGCAUGAUAUAGCAGUUAAAGGAGUAAUCCGCUAUGAGAUGGACCCGCGUCGCAUUAGCUAGUUGGUGAGGUAACGGCUCACCAAGGCGACGAUGCGUAGCCGACCUGAGAGGGUGAUCGGCCACAUUGGGACUGAGACACGGCCCAGACUCCUACGGGAGGCAGCAGUGGGGAAUAUUGCACAAUGGGGGAAACCCUGAUGCAGCCAACGCCGCGUGAGUGAUGACGGUCUUCGGAUUGUAAAGCUCUGUCUUCAGGGACGAUAAUGACGGUACCUGAGGAGGAAGCCACGGCUAACUACGUGCCAGCCGCAGC